rnacentral:rRNA from 1 species
CUUGCUCCUCGGGUGACGAGUGGCGGACGGGUGAGUAGUGUCNGGGGAUCUGCCCGAUAGAGGGGGAUAACCACUGGAAACGGUGGCUAAUACCGCAUAACGUCGCAAGACCAAAGAGGGGGACCUUCGGGCCUCUCACUAUCGGAUGAACCCANAUGGGAUUAGCUAGUGGGCGGGGUAACGGCCCACCUANGCGACNAUCCCUAGCUGGUCUGAGAGGAUGACCAGCCACACUGGAACUGANACACGGUCCACACUCCUACGGGANGCAGCAGUGGGGAAUAUUGCACAGUGGGCGCAAGCCUGAUGCACCCAUGCCGCGUGUAUGAANAANGCCUUCGGGUUGUAAAGUACUUUCAGCGGGGAGGAAGGNGAUGUGGUUAAUAACCGCNUUGAUUGACGUUACCCGCAAAAGAAGCACCGGCUAACUCCGUGCCAGCAGCCGCGGUAAUACNGAGGGUGCAAGCGUUAAUCAGAAUUACUGGGCGUAAAGCGCAC